AAACCAACAGGGAUUGCCUCAGUAACGGCGAGUGAAGCGGCAAGAGCUCAAAUUUGAAAUCUGGAGCCUCCGGCUUCCGAGUUGUAAUUUGAAGAGGAUGUUUCGGUUGCGGCCUGGGCCUAAGUUCCUUGGAACAGGACGUCAUGGAGGGUGAGAAUCCCGUACAUGGCUGCAGGCUUGCUUCCAUGUGAAACUCCUUCGAAGAGUCGAGUUGUUUGGGAAUGCAGCUCAAAAUGGGUGGUAAAUUUCAUCUAAAGCUAAAUAUUGGCGGGAGACCGAUAGCGCACAAGUAGAGUGAUCGAAAGAUGAAAAGCACUUUGAAAAGAGAGUUAAACAGUACGUGAAAUUGUUGAAAGGGAAGCGCUUGCAAUCAGACUCGCUUUCGGUUGAUCAACGUUCCUUUUGGUUCGUGCACUCUGCCGUUGGCGGGCCAGCAUCAGUUGAGGCGGCGGGACAAAGGUAGCGGGAAUGUGGCUCCCUCGCGGGAGUGUUAUAGCCCGUUGCGCCAUGCCGCCAGCUUCGACUGAGGUCCGCGAUUUAUCUAGGAUGCUGGCUUAAUGGUUGUAAGCGACCCGUCUUGAAACACGGACCAAGGAGUCUAACAUCUAUGCGAGUCUUUGGGUGUCAAACCCAUGGGCGGAAUGAAAGUGAACGGAGGUGGGAGUCCUCGGAUGCACCAUCGACCGAUCCUGAUGUCUUCGGAUGGAUUUGAGUAUGAGCAUAGCUGUUGGGACCCGAAAGAUGGUGAACUAUGCCUGAAUAGGGUGAAGCCAGAGGAAACUCUGGUGGAGGCUCGCAGCGGUUCUGACGUGCAAAUCGAUCGUCAAAUUUGGGUAUAGGGGCGAAAGACUAAUCGAACCAUCUAGUAG
rnacentral:rRNA from 1 species